GCUCUGUCUCGCGAUUGGAAUGAGAACAAUGUAAAAGCCUUAACGAGGAUCCACUGGAGGGCAAGUCUGGUGCCAGCAGCCGCGGUAAUACCAGCUCCAGUAGCGUAUAUUAAAGUUGUUGCAGUUAAAAAGCUCGUAGUUGAAAUUCUGUACGGAACGACGUCUUCGGAUGAUCGAGCCGUGCAUCCGCCUGAGCAGCAGGUCGGUACUCUGUUGCCGGUUUGUGAUCAGGCACUUUACCUUGAGCAAAUUAGAGUGUUCCAGGCAGGCGUCAGCCUGAAUAGUCCAGCAUGGAAUAAUAGAAGAGGACUGAAAACCACUGUUGGUGUUGUGGUAAUCAGUAAUGAUUAAUAGGGAUAGUUGGGGGCAUUCGUAUUUAAUUGUCAGAGGUGAAAUUCUAUGAUUUAUUAAAGACGAACCUAUGCGAAAGCAUUUGCCAAGGAUGUUUUCAUUAAUCAAGAACGAAAGUUAAGGGAUCAAAGACGAUCAGAUACCGUCGUAGUCUUAACCAUAAACUAUGCCGACUAGAGAUUGGAGGUGCAACUCCAAGACUCCUUCAGCAUCUUACGAGAAAUCAACGUCUUUGGGUUCUGGGGGGAGUAUGGUCGCAAGACUGAAACUUAAAGGAAUUGACGGAAGGGCACCACCAGGUGUGGAGCCUGCGGCUUAAUUUGACACAACACGGGGAAACUUACCAGGUCCAGACAUAGCGAGGAUUGACAGACUGACAGCUCUUUCUUGAUUCUAUGGGUGGUGGUGCAUGGCCGUUCUUAGUUGGUGGAGUGAUUUGUCUGGUUAAUUCCGAUAACGAACGAGACCUCAGCCUGCUAAAUAGUCAGAGUCCGAUUGGGCCUGUGACUUCUUAGAGGGACUGUGGGGGCUACUCCACGGAAGUUUGAGGCAAUAACAGGUCUGUGAUGCCCUUAGAUGUCCUGGGCCGCACGCGCGCUACACUGAUGCAGGCAGCAAGCACCGUGGCAGAAAUGUCUCGGAAAACUACAAACUGCAUCGUGCUGGGGAUUGACUCUUGGAAUUCUUGGUCAUAAACGAGGAAUACCUAGUAAACGCAAGUCAUCAGCUUGCAUUGAUUACGUCCCUGCCCUUUGUACACACCGCCCGUCGCUCCUACCGAUUUGAGUGGUGCGGUGAACCCUUCGGACCGGUACGCCGGAAAGUUGAGUAAACCUUACCACUUAGGGGAAGGAGAAGUCGUAACAAGGUA
rnacentral:rRNA from 1 species